CCUACGGGUGGCAGCAGUGAGGAAUAUUGGUCAAUGGACGAGAGUCUGAACCAGCCAAGUAGCGUGAAGGAUGACUGCCCUAUGGGUUGUAAACUUCUUUUAUAUGGGAAUAAAAUGUUCCACGUGUGGGAUUUUGUAUGUACCCUAUGAAUAAGGAUCGGCUAACUCCGUGCCAGCAGCCGCGGUAAUACGGAGGAUCCGAGCGUUAUCCGGAUUUAUUGGGUUUAAAGGGAGCGUAGGUGGAUUGUUAAGUCAGUUGUGAAAGUUUGCGGCUCAACCGUAAAAUUGCAGUUGAAACUGGCAGUCUUGAGUACAGUAGAGGUGGGCGGAAUUCGUGGUGUAGCGGUGAAAUGCUUAGAUAUCACGAAGAACUCCGAUUGCGAAGGCAGUUCACUGGACUGCAACUGACACUGAGGCUCGAAAGUGUGGAUAUCAAACAGGAUUAGAUACCCUUGUAGUC
rnacentral:rRNA from 1 species